UGAAUGAAAGCUUGCUUUCAUUCGGUUAGCGGCGGACGGGUGAGUAACACGUGGGCAACCUGCCCGUAAGACCGGGAUAACUUCGGGAAACCGGAGCUAAUACCGGAUAACACCGAAGAUCGCAUGAUCUUUGGUUGAAAGGCGGCUUUGGCUGUCACUUACGGAUGGGCCCGCGGCGCAUUAGCUAGUUGGUGAGGUAACGGCUCACCAAGGCGACGAUGCGUAGCCGACCUGAGAGGGUGAUCGGCCACACUGGGACUGAGACACGGCCCAGACUCCUACGGGAGGCAGCAGUAGGGAAUCUUCCGCAAUGGACGAAAGUCUGACGGAGCAACGCCGCGUGAGCGAAGAAGUCUUCGGAUUGUAAAGCUCUGUUGUUAGGGAAGAACAAGUACCGUUCGAAGAGGGCGGUACCGUGACGUACCUAACGAGAAAGCCACGGCUAACUACGUGCCGCAGCCGCGGUAAUACGUAGUGGCAAGCGUUGUCCGGAAUUAUUGGGCGUAAAGCGCGCGC
rnacentral:rRNA from 1 species